GACGAACGCUGGCGGCGUGCUUAACACAUGCAAGUCGAACGAUGAACCCGGAGCUUGCUCCGGCGGAUUAGUGGCGAACGGGUGAGUAACACGUGAGUAACCUGCCCUUGACUCUGGGAUAACUGCGGGAAACUGGAGCUAAUACCGGAUACGACCCUCGGCGGCAUCGCCCGGGUGUGGAAAGAAUUUCGGUCAAGGAUGAGCUCGCGGCCUAUCAGCUAGUUGGUGUGGUACCGGCUCACCAAGGCGACGACCGGAAGCCGGCCUGAGAGGGUGAACGGCCACACGGGGAGUGCGACACGGCCCAGACUCCUACGGGAGGCAGCAGUGGGGAAUAUUGCACAAUGGGCGCAAGCCUGAUGCAGCAACGCCGCGUGAGGGAUGACGGCCUUCGGGUUGUAAACCUCUUUUAGUAGGGAAGAAGCGAAAGUGACGGUACCUGCAGAAAAAGCACCGGCUAACUACGUGCCAGCCGCCGCCGUAA
rnacentral:rRNA from 1 species